rnacentral:lncRNA from 1 species
GAGGCUAAUUUAGGGAUUUUCAUCCCAAUAGGUUACCAACCGGUGACCCUCAGGGAUUCUUUUAUUAUUUUCUUUUGCUUGACUUCACACCCUUCGGUGCCGCACUUCUCUUCACCACCCCCGUCCCCUCCCCCACAGUCUUCGUACCGGCGGCCUGCUUGCGCCGGCAUCGUUGCGGGGCUCUCCUCUCCUCACCGCGUCCGGGCGUCUUCCACUCCCGUUCCCUCGCCCGCUGCCUCCCCCUAUCGGUGGCUUCCCCGUGCCGUAGCCUCCCUACGAGGGCAGCACCGACCGCCCCCUCCUCACGGGGGUAGGCAUUGCCCUUCCCUUCGGUGCUCCCCUCCCUUCGCCGCCUUCCCUCUCUCGCCCGCAGCGUCCACGUACCGGCGGCCUCCCCGCUCCGACGGCCUCUCUGCACCGAUAGCGUAGUUGCCCCCUCCUCUCGCCUCGCGCGUCCGGUCGUCUUCCACCCCCGGCCCGUCGCCCCGUGUUCCCGUACCUGCUUCUUUUCAGUAUUGGCAUGAAAGUUGUUGUAUAAGUUUCUUUAUUGGACAUGGAAAGUUAAAGAGCUGUGAUAAAAUCUCAGUUGGUAUUAUGUGAUAAGAUCUGUGGAUAUUGAUAAAAUCUUUGUGAUAAAAUCGCUGUGUCUGUCUGUCCAAUACCAAUCUAUUGAACGGACAUUCACUUCAUUUUGCUGCCGGUCAUUCACU